CAAUUGGGGAACUUGGCAAGAUGUCGGAAUAGCUGAACGCCUCUGUAUUGUUCAAAAACACGGCUAUGCCUCAUCUAGUCAAUUGCUACA
rnacentral:pre_miRNA from 12 species